rnacentral:rRNA from 1 species
UACAGAGGGGGCAAGCGUUGUCCGGAAUUAUUGGGCGUAAAGAGCUCGUAGGCGGUCUGUCGCAUCUGCUGUGAAAACUCAGGGCUUAACCCUGAGCUUGCAGUGGGUACGGGCAGACUAGAGUGGCGGUAGGGGAGACUGGAAUUCCGUGGUGAUAGCGGUGAAAUGCGCAGACUAUCAGGAGGAACACCGGUGGCGAAGGCGGGUCUCUGGGCCGAUAACUGACGCUGGAGGAG